ensembl:lncRNA
CCAAUCUAUAUUCCAGUUUUUAAAUAAGUAUCCAGUCCACAUAUUGUUCAUAAAUACAUGUUCAAAUAAGAGGUCUACCUCUGUGGUCUCUCUAACAUUGUUUUCAGGGAAGGAAAAUCUAAUUUUAUAUACUGUUGAGUUAAAAUGGUUUAGCAAUGUGAGGUGCUAUUUAAUGUGUGAGUCUAUUUAUAGUUUAUAGUAUGGGCAGUGGAACAAUUAUGCUUGUAUUUUCCUGGACUUCAUUUGGAAUUUGAAAUUUGAUUCCUCCCUUGAGAUUGCCAUGAUGAAAGCAGGAGUUCAGUGAUAGAGUUAUGAAUUAUGGUUGGCUGCGCUAUCAAUGACAUAACUUCUGGCUUGAAUUGAAAAUAAUGGUAAGUGAAGACUGCUCAGGUAAUUUAAUAUUGAUGCCUCUAGGUUUAUUGAGAGCAUCCUUCAUCAGCUAGAUAACAUUCCAGAUAAACCUCCCUUAGUGUAAACCAUUAUCAUAAUUUUUGAACCUGUCUACAUGAUGAAUUGAUUUUGGCAAUGUGAAAUAUUUUUUUCAAUAAAUAAUAUAACUUUUAUUAAAAUAAUCCAGAAAAAUAAUAUUAAAUGUUUUUAAAAACACUUUAAAGACUUUUAGCUCUAAAAUAUGCCCCAAUUCCUGUAAAGGAUAUUUAAAAUGCAUGAUGCAAAAUCAGUUGUCUACACCACGCUAUUUUACACUAAAGAUUUUCUAUAAUUCAGUCUGAAAGAAAAUCAUAGUUAAUUAAAACUCACAAAAGGAAAAACAUAAUCAGACAUGUAAAUAAUAGGAUACUUCUCUUUAUAUCGACCCUGUAUCUUGCUUGAUUCUAAACAUCUCUCAUCUGAUGGCAAGAGUGGAGGAGAAUAUUAAGAUUAAUAGAUAUAUAGAGAUAUAUUACACUUUCUGUGUCAAAGUUAUGUUGUUUGCAUUCUGCAUGUUUCUUUUUAACUUCCAUGGUUUAAAGUGAAACAAGUAUAACAGAGCAUGUUUGGUGAUGCAUAAUAUAGCAGGUCGAGAUUAGAACAUGCAUUCCUAAACACAUGGCUAGCAUCAUCAACUUUGGUAAUGUUCAUCUUUUGUUGGCAGGAAUACAGGCUGCAUACAAGUACUUCUUCCUGUUCUACAGCUGAUUAGCACUGUUAAAAACUGAUUGUCACUUCCCUGAUUCUUUAUCAGUAUUUAUCCCCUCCUUAAACACACACACGCUUUCUUUUGUUUAUGGAUUGAACUGAAAUAUAAUUCUUAUAUCCAUCUUCUACUACACUGUCUAAUCUUCAGAAGCAGAGAAGAUGGAAUAUGCCUUGCAAGUCAGUUGUCAAGCAAUGCUGAGUGGGAAGGCAAAUCCCCAGUACACACUCAGGUCCUUGACCUGUCUUGACUGACACAGAUAUGCAUGAAUGACCCAGAGGCAGGCUCAGCAAAGCAGGCAGCCUUGGGGAAUCCCUUGUGUCUAGGAGUGAAACCUCUAUGAAGAGUGUGUGUGAAUAAAUAUUUUCUUUGAUAUACACAUUGAAACUACAUUUAUUUUCAGCAGAAAAGUACAAGUAACAUUCAAAGGGCAUGUGUAUUGGAUAGCUCAGUGUGAGUAAUGUACAGGCAAAAUGCACCCAUUUACUAUAAUGAUAGCAUCUUUAGAUAACAGUAUUUUUUCUGAUUUGGAUACUAUAGGCUAAGUCCUGGUUGUCUGGCAUAGAGCAAAUGUGAGAACUAUCCUUUAAUCUUCAUGUUUUGUUUUCAUCAAAGCAUAUGUAUUUCAAGAAAAAAAAUUCUACUCCUGUUCUUGUUCAUCAAAACUUUGUUUUAACCUCUUUGCUUUAACCCUUUACUGAAGCAGGUUUAGGUAUUGUGGCCCUCACGUGUUAUGGUCCUCUGAACAGAGAUCAGGAGGUGACCAGAUCCAGAAGAUCCAUAGAUCUAGAACGAUAAUGAUGAGGCAUCUCUACCUGUAGAGCUUCCCUACACCACCUAGAACCCUAAUCUUGCAGUGUUCUAAUAAAAACUUUCUG